GCCUCGGCUACUCGGAUCUUAUUCGGCGGACGGGUAGAGUAAUGCUUAGGAGUCUGCCUAUGAGUGGGGGACAACAUCUCGAUAGGGAUGCUAAUACCGCAUACAAUAACUACGGGAGAAGCAGAGAGAUCUUCGGACCUUGCGCUAAUAGAUGAGCCUAAGUCAGAUAAGCUAGUUGGUGGGGUAAAGGCCUACCAAGGCGACGAUCUGUAGCGGGUCUGAGAGGAUGAUCCGCCACACUGGGACUGAGACACGGCCCAGACUCCUACGGGAGGCAGCAGUGGGGAAUAUAGGACAAUGGGGGGAACCCUGAUCCAGCCAUGCCGCGUGUGUGAAGGAGGCCUUAUGGUUGUAAAGCACUUUAAGCGAGGAGGAGGCUACUUUAGUUAAUACCUAGAGAUAGUGGACGUUACUCGCAGAAUAAGCACCGGCUAACUCUGUGCCAGCAGCCGCGGUAAUACAGAGGGUGCGAGCGUUAAUCGGAUUUACUGGGCGUAAAGCGUGCGUAGGCGGCUUAUUAAGUCGGAUGUGAAAUCCCGAGCUUAACUUGGGAAUUGCAUUCGAUACUGGUGAGCUAGAGUAUGGGAGAGGAUGGUAGAAUUCCAGGUGUAGCGGUGAAAUGCGUAGAGAUCUGGAGGAAUACCGAUGGCGAAGGCAGCCAUCUGGCUAUACUGACGCUGAGGUACGAAGCAUGGGAGCAACAGAUAGAUCCNGUAGUCAUGCCUAACAUUCACUAGCGUGGGCUGAGCUAGUGCCACUACCAUAGUAACGCUGGAUCGUCAGCUAACUCAUAUACGGGCCUCACCGGACGUGUUAUUAUCACGAACUACUGCUACUCGACCUCAAAUAUGUCCUGAAUAUCGGUCCUCGUACCUGCGAGUGAUUCCAAGCCCCUCUGCGUG
rnacentral:rRNA from 1 species